rnacentral:misc_RNA from 1 species
GAUGAAGAACGUAGUGAAAUGCGAUAAGUAAUGUGAAUUGCAGAAUUCCGUGAAUCAUCGAAUCUUUGAACGCAAAUUGCACUCUUUGGUAUUCCGAAGAGUAUGCCUGUUUGAGGGUCAGUCAAAUAAAAAUCGGGGUUGUUGCUGCUGCCUUUUGUGGUGACGCUUCGGAACUGGGUCGUCUUUGCCUUCGGGUUAAGUGACCUAAAAUUUCGGAUGAUUUUUCGAACGUAUUUAAAUUUUUUUACGUACGUUUGUGAUAUCGAAUAUUAGAUGCGGUCAUUUUCAUGACUCGCGUCUAUAAUUAUUUCAUCAAAUGACCUCAAAUCAGGUAAGAGUACCCGCUGAACUUAAGCAUAUCAAUAAGCGGAGGA